AACGAACGCUGGCGGCAUGCCUAACACAUGCAAGUCGAACGAAGGCUUCGGCCUUAGUGGCGCACGGGUGAGUAACGCGUGGGAAACUGCCUAUUGGUGGGGAAUAACGACGGGAAACUGUCGCUAAUACCGCAUAAGCCCUUCGGGGGAAAGAUUUAUGGCCGAUAGAUGUGCCCGCGUCCGAUUAGCUAGUUGGUGAGGUAAUGGCUCACCAAGGCGACGAUCGGUAUCUGGUCUGAGAGGAUGAUCAGCCACACUGGGACUGAGACACGGCCCAGACUCCUACGGGAGGCAGCAAUGGGGAAUAUUGGACAAUGGGCGAAAGUCUGAUCCAUCUAUGCCGCGUGAGUGAUGAAGGGCUUAGGGUUGUAAAGCUCUUUCGGGUGGGACGAUGAUGACGGUACCACCAGAAGAAGCCCCGGCUAACUUCGUGCCAGCCGCCGCGGUAA
rnacentral:rRNA from 1 species